CUGAGUUGCUUAGUGCCUUGCCUUUGCUGAGGCUGGCUUUGAACUCGUGAUCCUCCUGCCUCAGCCUCCUGAGCUGCUGGAAUGACAGGUGUGCACUACCAAGCCCGCCAACUUGUUCCCUUUCAUCAAGGGGCUAAUGCAGCUGGACCCAAGCCCCUGACUCAGCCAAGGGGCCUGGUUGACCCAGGUCUCUGGCAGAGUUGAGCUCAGGGAUGGAGACAGAGGGAGUGGGAGCUAACGAAGGAGGUUCUGGAGGCCUUGUGUGUGCGCAGGAGUCUGAGGAAGGGGGUGGGGAGCUGGAUGGUUGCUUCUAGUUCGCGUUCCUCAGGUGAUCCCGGCUGGCAGUCACCCUGAAGGACUAGCCCGUGGAUGUCCAGCCCUGGGUCUGGGUCAGCCACUGGUCAGCAAUUGUCCCAUUUUGCUUCCUUCCUAGUAGGACUGUCACUCAGCACUGGGGUGAUAGAGCAGCUGAGGGGACAAAGGGGGACCUGGCAGCAGGAAGGGGAGCAGGGGACAGAGGCUGUUCACCCUGCAGGGUGGGAGGAUCAGAGCCCCUCAGGCCUCGUGGAUGAAGUUUGUAUCUGCCCCCCCAUCCCCCCCCCAUGGGGGAAGCAAAAGCACAGGAAACCCACUGGGAGAAACUGAGGCAGGAAGGCAGAAGCAGCCAGCAGGAAAGAGACCUGGGAGAGGCCUGACCCUGGAGCUGUGGGUGCUGACCCCCUGGGGCAGGGGAAGGCAAAGCUCCAGGUUUGGGGGGGUGGCUGGGCCCCAGGUCUCUGUUUCCACAGGGGGAGAAUUUUGGACUCUGUUGCACUGGGUGCUGGUGGGGGAGAAGGCCCAGCUUCCUUUGUGUCCCUUCUGGGGGGCAGGUGGGACCUCUCAAGCCCAGGGUCCCUCCCCUUCUCCACCUCAGCUCCAGGGGCCCUCACUCUCCCCCUGCCCCCUCCCACCCCCUGACUCCGGACCAGGGGCAGCAACUUUUUCCUAGGACAAUGGGCCACCAGAUGUCAGCCUCAGGAGGACUCAGCUCUGUCCUGGGGGGGGACUGAGGGGACACUGAGGCCCUGUGGGAGCUUUGGCUCCGAUUCACAGAGAUGAGCUGGCCCACUUCCUUCAGCCACCACCGUGAACCGUGGCUCUGCCCCAUCCACAGAGGCCAGUCGUGUCUGGGUUUUGGUUUCCUGAUUUUACCCUGGGAGGAGGGGGACAGAUCCAGAUGCCCCUUUUCAUUCCCAACACUAUGUAGGGGAGAAGUAAGGCUUUGACCCUGGGGGAUCAGGGGGGCGCAGGAAGCCUGUGUCAGGACCUUUCUGGGGGUGGGUCAUUUCUGUAUGGUGCUCUUUUGACUUGUCGCUAUCUGUGGGACAGAAAUGAUGACUCCAAUUUCACACGGGAGGAAAAUCAGACUCAGAAAGGUGAGUUAACCUAAGGGCAUUCUGCUGGUGAGUGGAGGAAACCAGGAUUCGAAUCCAGGGCUGGCCCUAAAGUCUGGGCUCCUUCCACGCUGCUGUGUCCAUGGGGUGAGGAGUGGGGAUGGAGGGAGGGUCUGUUCCCUGUCUCCUCCUUCGGGGCCUAGGGAGAGGGGCAUGGGCCAGGAGGCUGGGGACCGCUGGGACACAGUGGGGCAGGCACCCGGAGAACCUAGAUGGGACCCUGACACUCUACCUGCAUGAUAUGGGGCAAGCCCCUUCUCUCUGAGCCACAUGUAAGUGGUGGCUGGAGGUGUCUCCUGGAUGUGUGGUGGGUGAGCGGAAAAACCAAAUGCGGGGGAAGGAAGCCGCCUUCUAACUGGCGGCAGCUCUGGCUCAGGACAGAGGCCCUCCAGGACCUCGCUCCGGAAUCUCCGUCCCUCUCAGCCCAUCUAGAUGGAGUCCCCAGCCUUCCCCAGACACCAGGCAGAGACGGACCAAUCCACUGGCGGUGUGCAGUGCGUGCUGCGUGCGUACUGGUGGCCCCAGCUGGCUGCAGGUCACACCCGGGCGUUCCCUCCCCUGCGGAGUCACCUGAGAUCUCUCUAUCCCAGCAGGGCAGUCCCUGCUCAGUUGGGACCCUGCAGCCCUGCUCAACUAGAAUUCCUUGGCUUCUGCUGGUGUCUCUCUGGAGCUGCAUUUUUAGUCUGUGAGUUUCUCAUUUCCCUUCUGCCUUCCCAAAAGGAGGAGUUUGUUCCAGUGAUCCUUGCUGUGUGGCCUUUGGAAUGUGGCUUUGCCUCUCUGGACAUUAUUCUGGAUUAAAAAAAAAAAAAAAAAGAUUGGACUCAUUGGAUCAGGUGUCUGAAAGGGUGGUCUGUGGGCAGCCCAUCUGUGUGUCAUCUCCAGGACUCCAGUCUGUGUGUCAUCUCCAGGACUCGUAAAAAUGACGAAGAGCUGGGCCCAUUCUUAGAUGAACUGCCUACAGAUCUCUUGAGAUGGGAUGUGGGAAUCUGCACUCUUAUCUAUCUAUUAAUCAAUCUACCAAUCUACCUAUCAGCAUUGGGAAUGGACCUCAGGGCCUUGCACGUUAGGCAAGUGCUCUGCCACGGAGCUACAUCCCCAGCCCUGUGUUUAAAUAGGUUCCCCAUGGGACUCUUGCGCACAGAGCCUGCUGAUCUGAAGACACCUAUCUGUCACCUCCCCCCUGGGUUGUCAGAGGUGGUCUUAAAGCUACGAAUAUUGUCCUCUGUGUUAGUCAACUCUUGUCCCUUCUUCCCUCCCUUCUCUGGCACUGGGGACUGAACUUGGGGAUGCUCUACCAUUGGACUAUACUUUUUAUUUUUCACUUUGAGACAAGGUCUUGCCAAGUUGCUGAGGCUCUGCUCUGUUCCUCUCCAUUCUGGGGUCCACGCUGAAGAGGAGCCCCCACCUGAGACGUGUUCUUCUGAUGGCAAGGAAGAGAGCGGGAACCAUGGUGCAGGCACAUGACCCUCCUGACGGUUUUGCUUGGACGUGGAACAUGUCCCUUCUGUUCACCAAAAUGUGUCAUGUUCUCAAUUCAAUGUCCGAGGGGUGGGAAGUGCACUUGUCCUGCAGGAUGGACACCCAGGAGAGAGCCUGCAGGGACGGUCAAAGAGAAACCCAGGGGCAUUGUAGUACACUGUCCUGCGCCCUCCAGGCUUGGUCUGGGGUCUUGUUUGGCCCAGGCAGGGAGGAACGGGGCUGCUGUCCUACAGAGUUGGGCCACCUAGUACACACAUGCCUCUCCACGGCCGGCCACCUACUGCUUCCCCUACCCACUCUGAGCCCCUGGCCUUGCUCCCGGGUCCUUCAGUGGGGACUGUCUCCUUGUUUCUGCCUCCCUGCUCGGGAACCUGCAGACACCCACCCUGCAUCCUCCAGGGAUCUGCUCUAACAAUCAGAAUCCUUCUCUAAAAUGGUCCUUUAUCCUCUAAAUGCAGAGGGGAAAUUUAGACUGCAAGUAUGGGACUUUCUUACAUAAGAGAACUCAUGUCAUUUUCCUCUUUGGCUGGUAUUGUUCUUGUGUUCAAGCUCACAUCAGCCCGACUCUCAGAGAGGUUGAAUUCUUUCCCCUGGACACACAGCAUGUUGUUUCCAGAGCUGCAUUGCCACCAAGUUCUGCAUGUGUCUGAGUGGCAUCUUCAGAAAGCCUGCUUGAUGUCUAGGGGUCCUUUGUGCGGGACCCACUGCACUGACUUGGAUAUCAAUGGCACAAGUCUGGCUCUUAGGGGCCGUGCUAUCUGGAGACACAGAAACACUCAAAUAUACUCUGCAUACAAACCUCUUCCUGAACUGGACAAUAUGGAUCACGUGAUGACCCAGAAGGAGCAAGAGUCUUAAGUCUUGGGUUCAAAUCCAAGUUUGGCCCUGAACUGGAUAUGCUGCUUCUUAAAUCUGGGACUCAGUUUCUCUGACUGUCAAAGAUAGGUUUUUGCUCAGCCCAUCUGAGAUGCCUUCCAGGGGAUUAGAGUGGGCAAGGUUAACCCACUGGCAUGGUUCUCACAAGCUGUUGAUUCUACAUUGGUGUGGGAAGGAGGCUGAUGGAAACCCACACACUCAAACUGACUUAAGCAAAAUAAGUUAUUGACUGCUGAUGAGGCCAGGCUGACUGCUUUCUUAGGCAUGAUCUCUCCUCAUGGUGACAAGAUGGCUGCCAGUAGCACUAGGUCCCUGUUCUGAUGGUUCAGCAACCUGGAGAAAGGAAGCAUCUCCCUUCUAUUAGUAAUACUCUGCUCCUUCCCAGCUGUGACCCGGAGCCAAUCCCCUAUUGUCUGAUCCAUUUCUGGGGAUGGAGUGAAAAAGUGUAAGUACUGGCCCCAACCCAGCUCUCUGAAGAGGCUCUGGCAAGACUUCCCUUCUCCGCCUAAAACCUCCCCUGGCACACAGAAUUUGUGCUGUGUUCUUGAACUGACAUCUUUUCUUUCUUUGGUCCAGAGGAUUGAACCCAGGGGCACUUAACCACUGAGCCACUUCCUCAGCCCUUUUUUAUAUUUUAUUUAGAGACAGGGUCUUGCUGAGUGGCUGAGGCUGGCUUUGCUCUUCCUGCCCAGCCUCCCUAUCUGCUGGGAUCACAGGCCUGUGCCACCGCACCCAGCUGAAUUGAUACGUUUUCUAUGUCUUCUCUGAUGGCCUUUGAUUGGGGGCAGGGCUAUGCCACAUUUGUGCCCACUCUGUGGUCACCCCAUCCACAAAUGCCCCUCGAAUGAAGUAACAGGGAGGAGUUGGCUGGGUCCUCUGCCCACUGUUGCCAUGUACCCGGGACCUGGCUGCAGCUGGACGCUCUUCAGCAUCUGCUCUUCCCGAUGCCCAGGCCGUAGCCAGGUGUCACACGUGUACCCAAUUCCCAAAGCAUAGACCAAGCGUCCACUUCAAAUUUUCCGGGGAAGGCAGGAGAGCGGAUGAGGCCACGCCCACACUCCCGUCAAUCAGGCCACGUGGGGCUCCUCCCCGCCUUCUUGGCUGCCUCCCUCCCUAGCAGCGCUCUGUGGUUCCUCUUCAGUUCCAUUUUCUUAAAUCAAACCCGACUGUCAUUUUGCAUCCCCAGGACAGCAAAACACCUCCAGGCCCGCCCUUCUCCUGGGCUCAUUCCACCUGCUCAUACCUACCUUUGCACUAUGGGACCCCUUGACCCCCACCCAGGCCUCAGUGCCCCUGCACACCCACCAGCCCCUCCAGCUGCUGCUCCAUGGCGUUUAGAGAGGAGACUUGACUGGCCCAUGUCAUCCCAGCUCCUGUGCAGGGCUCCUCCCACUCUGCCCCCUCCCAGGGCCCAGUUGCCCCUGUGGGUGGGCGACGUGGGGGUGGGGCAGGAUCGCUUGGGGCUGGCCUCCCUGGUGAAGCUGGGGGUGCUGCACACACUGAUUUCAGACGUGGCUCUGAGCGGGCGGUUCAUUCAUUCCUGACCGUAUUGACUGCAGAAUUGAGCGCUACAAGUAGGUAGUUUAGCUAUUAUUCUCCCACUGAUUUGAUUUAAUGUUUGGUUUAUUCCUGUUCCUCUCCCCCCUCCUCUCCUCAUCAGGGUGACAUUUGCAUAGUGUUUCCCUUCAGUUUUGUGGAACACAUGGUUUUCUGGUAACUCCCUGCUUUGGCUUGAAUGAUUUUCUUUGGGGAACCCCUGGGGGGUGCAUGGAAGCACCAUCUUCCUCCUGGACCCUGCCUUUGUGUUCUUUUCCCCACAGGGAGAAACACGUGAGGGACCAUAUGUCCCUGCUUCUUGGCCUCUGGGAGCCCAUGAAAUUCCUGCUGCCUGUGGCCUUCAAGUAUUCCUGAGCAUCCUGGGACGGAGGGCAGGGGUCCCAGCAUGCCCAUGAAGGAGCCUGCACCCUGUGGGUAACCUCUGCCCUCCCACCCAGCACCUCUUCCAGAGCCCCACAGUGAGGUCAGGCAGCACCUCUUCUGAGAACUCAACAUACCUCCUUUGGGCUCCCAGAGGACUUUGUGUCCCAGCACAGAACUCACCACACUGGAUGGAGAGUGUCAGUCUAAGUCUGUUUUCAAACUCUUCUCCAAGAGUUGCAGCUAUGCUCCCCUGAGUCCCGUGGGCCCUCAGCAUCCACUUCUGGAUCAGCCUGAUGCUCCAUUGACUGCACACGAACUGGGACCAGGCUCCUGCAAGGGAGGAUGCAGGGUAGACUCCAGCCAGAACUUCCCAGACACCGAUGGUCUGAGUACACAGAACUGGAAUUGUGAACCAAGGACGAGAAGAGGGCAUCCUAGGGCAGAAGGGAGGUCACUGAAGGCGAAGAGCAUAGGGACAGAAGCCACUGGGAGGCAUCGCUGUAGCAGAUUGUCAGAGAGGAGGGGAGGGGUUUUGUUGUGACGUUGUCUUCAGACAAUGGCAGUUACCUGUAAAGAAACCAACCAUGAUACAACUACAGCCCAAAUGGAAAUGACUGAAGAAGAACAAGAAACGUGUGUCUCAAGGCUGUGCGCGUGUCAACACGAGCAGACUAAUUCAGGCGGGCGUGCCGAACACGCUGGGGGAGAGCCGGGUUGACUAUCAUUAUUCUUUGUUUCUCUUUUCUUGUCUGAUGAAAAAUUUGCAAUUUCUACACUGUCACAAAGCAAUCAAAACCGUGAUUAAGUUUCACAAUUUUGACAGCUAGUUUCAUGUGCUUUAAGUAGCUCUGUCCUGUUUUCGACAAUUUGAACAAUUUGUGUUUCCUAGGAAUUUGAAGAAGAUCACCAAGGUCUUCCCUUCCCACUACCCCAGUCUCGAGAGCAACCCAUUCAGCGGGUGAGGGGGUUGAACUUUGCUCUGAGUGUGUUGUGCAUGGGAACUCAUUGACUCCUCAUGAGAACUGAUGGAGGUCCAUGAUCGGCAUCCCCCACCCGCCAUGUACCUGAGGGAGGCUGGAGACCGAGCCUCAGUUGGUGCUGUAUUGGCUCUGUGCUCCGGGGUGACUGUGAGGGUGACAGGUUCAUUCACAAUUUGCAGAUGGAGAACUGGAAUCUCAGAGAGGUCCAGCAGCAGGCCACGCAGCCGGAAGUGCCAGGACAAGAGCCUACAGUCUUUUCCCCAUGCCCCAGUUCCUGCCUGGAACCUAGGUCUGAGAGGGAACAGCAAGGACAAUUCCCUCGAUCCCCAAUAAACACAGCCUUUGAAAUGG